AAGUCGUAACAAGGUUUCCGUAGGUGAACCUGCGGAAGGAUCAUUAUCGAACGAAUGUAGAGUCGGUUGUCGCUGGUCCUUUCGGGGACAUGUGCACGCCUUCUCUUUCAUCCACACACACCUGUGCACUUGUGAGACGGAAGCCCUCGGGCGUCCGUCUGCUCUACAUAAACUCAUAUCUAUAAUUCAAAUGUAAUUGAUGUAACACAUCUUUAAACUAAGUUUCAACAACGGAUCUCUUGGCUCUC
rnacentral:misc_RNA from 1 species